UGCAUAUCAAAAAAGCGGAGGAAAAGAAACCAACAGGGAUUGCCUCAGUAACGGCGAGUGAAGCGGCAAAAGCUCAAAUUUGAAAUCUAGCACCUUCGGUGUUCGAGUUGUAAUUUGAAGAUGGUAACCUUGGGUUUGGCUCUUGUCUAUGUUCCUUGGAACAGGACGUCAUAGAGGGUGAGAAUCCCGUCUGAUGAGAUGCCCAUUCCUAUGUAAGGUGCUAUCGAAGAGUCGAGUUGUUUGGGAAUGCAGCUCUAAGUGGGUGGUAAAUUCCAUCUAAAGCUAAAUAUUGGCGAGAGACCGAUAGCGAACAAGUACAGUGAUGGAAAGAUGAAAAGAACUUUGAAAAGAGAGUGAAAAAGUACGUGAAAUUGUUGAAAGGGAAGGGCAUUAGAUCAGACUUGGUGUUUUACGAUUAUCUUCUCUUCUUGAGUUGUGCACUCGUAUUUCACUGGGCCAGCAUCGAUUCGGAUGGCAAGAUAAUGGCAGUUGAAUGUGGCUUCACUUCGGUGGAGUGUUAUAGCUUCUGCUGAUAUUGCCUGUCUGGAUCGAGGGCUGCGUCUUUUGACUAGGAUGCUGGCGUAAUGAUCUAAUGCCGCCCGUCUUGAACCACGGACCA
rnacentral:rRNA from 1 species